rnacentral:rRNA from 1 species
GGCCUACCAUGGUGGUAACGGGUAACGGGGUGUUAGGGCACGACACCGGAGAGGGAGCCUGAGAAACGGCUACCACAUCCAAGGAAGGCAGCAGGCGCGCAAAUUACCCAAUCCCGACACGGGGAGGUAGUGACAAUAAAUAACAAUACAGGGUUCUUUUGGAUCUUGUAAUUGGAAUGAGUACAAUUUAAAUCUCUUAACGAGGAACAAUUGGAGGGCAAGUCUGGUGCCAGCAGCCGCGGUAAUUCCAGCUCCAAUAGCGUAUAUUAAAGUUGUUGCAGUUAAAAAGCUCGUAGUUGAAUUUCGGGAUCAAUGGAACGGUCAUGCCGUUGGUAUGUACUGAUCUUAUUGGUUCUCACCUUCUAAAGAACCAUAAUGCCGUUAAUUUGGUGUUAUGGGGAAUUAGGACUGUUACCUUGAAAAAAUUAGAGUGUUUAAAGCAGGCUUACGCUUGAAUACAUUAGCAUGGAAUAACGAAAUAGGACAUCGCAUUCUAUUUUGUUGGUUUCUAGGAUCGAUGUAAUGAUUAAUAGGGAUAGUUGGGGGCAUUAGUAUUCAAUUGUCAGAGGUGAAGUUCUUGGAUUUAUUGAAGACUAACUACUGCGAAAGCAUUUGCCAAGGAUGUUUUCAUUAAUCAAGAACGAAAGUUAGGGGAUCGAAGACGAUCAGAUACCGUCGUAGUCUUAACCAUAAACUAUGCCGACUAGGGAUCGGAUGAUGUUAAUUUUUUAAUGACUCAUUCGGCACCUUACG